GUUAAAGACCUCCGAUACCGCUCCCUUGUGAUCCGCGCGGCAACAGCUGCUCUGCGCCCACCGCUGUCCGUGCCCUCUGACCCGGAAGAAGACAGAGAAGACAGAGGAACUGAAGAAGAGGAGGAAAAGCA